ensembl:lncRNA
AAGAGUUUCAGUCAUUUGAGGAAUGGCUGCAGGAUGAGCAGCUCGCUGUGAAUGAGUGCUUUGAGAACGCUGAGAGAAAGCAGGAUGUAGAAACAUCUAUGCAGAGACUGACAAGUUUCCUGGCCUCUAAAGAAGGAGAACAGCGUCUGGCUCAGUUGAAGGAGAGGUUUGAGCGAGGUGGACAGGCAAAGCUCCCUACUGAGGCUCAAGCUUUGCUCUCUACAUGGCAUCAGGAACAGGAAGGAGAACUGGCCACACUCAGGGCUCACUGCCAGGGACGCCAUAAACAGCUAGAUGACAUCCUCCACAACCUCAACAGGUACAUGGAAGAAGUUCUCAUCAUUGCUUUUGGUUGUUACUGUUGUUUCAGUUCAUUCAUGUCUUUGUAUUUAGUUUGCAAGAGGAACAUAAUCAAUUGAAGGACUGGCUGCAGCAGAGAGAGCAAGUGCCAGAACAGAGAGAAAAACUAAGGCAAAUCCAAGAGGAUUUUCUUAAAGAAAGCGGUCAUGUGGAGGCAUUCAAUGACCUGUUAUCUGCUGUAAGGAUGCGUGGCCUGAGGGGAGACCCUCUCCUUAGAGACACCGAGACCCUGAUAGACCGAUACCACAGCCUGGGGAUUCUUUUGGAGAAUCAGGUCCAAGUCCACAAGACCCUUGAUGAUCAAAUUGAAACAUUCCAAACCAAUGCAGAACAGAUCAGAGCCUGGAUCAGAAAUGUAAAGCAAGGACUUGAGUACUUGGGGACAGACACACCAAUACAGGAAAAACACAUACAUACUCAGGCUGUUUUUAAUCUUAGUCCUGAGGGUGAGGCUAAACUCGUGGCUUUGAAAGAAGAGUGUGAUGCUUUAUGUGUUUAUGAGAUUUUGGAGGACACCAGAAGACAGGGGUUCAUUCACACCCUUGGAAACAUUGAAGAUGAGUGGAAAAGAGUUCUGGAUAUGGCUCAACAACUAAAACAUCAGGCAGAACUCCAAGACACUCUCAAUAUGGAACUAGAAGAUCUACAGGCCCAGGAAGACAGCAUCCAAUCCUGGGUGAGAGAACAACUACAAAUGCUGCACUCUUUGGGGAAGGAGCUUCAGCCACAUGAAAAACUUAACAAAGUACAGGCUGUCAUAGAUCUUGGUGAUGAAGCCGAUUCCAGAUUGGCCAGUUUACAGAGACAAGGACAACAUUUAUGUUCUUAUGAAGAGCUUGAGAAUGAGAGGAGGAGCCACAUUGACCAAACCCAGAGAGCAGUAGAGGAGGAGUGGAGGACAGUGCUACAACUUGCCCAGGAGCUCAAGAACCAGGUCAAGCAUGAGGAAUCUCUCUACAGAGAGUUACAAACUUUCUGUGAUCAGGGAGAGGACACUCGAUCCUGGAUUAGACAUCUCGGAGGGACCCUGGAUUCCCUUCAUGUGACAUCUUCCAUUCAAGAGAGGCUUAUUGGAGUUGAGGCACUACUAACUCGUAGAUCUGAGGGGGACUAUAAACUUUCUGACCUAAAGACGAAGGGAGAGAAUCUAUGUUCCUGUGAAGAUCUAGAGGAGGACAAAUGUCAGACAAUCCAACAUACAUUACAAAAUGUACAGCAAGAGUGGAUGGGAGUUUUGAUGCAGGCUCAGGAACUGAAGAACCAAUCAGAACUUGAGGAUUCUCUUUCUAAGGACCUUCAGGAUCUUCAAGAAGAGGAGGAGAACACUCAAUGUUGGCUCAAACAGCAGCAUCUGAAGAUUGAAUUGCUAGGUCAGGAGACUCAGUUACAAGAGAGAAUGCAUGGAGCUCAGGCCAUCCUAAACUCAGAAUCAGAGGGGGAUUACAAGCUAGCCAACCUGAGGAGGAAAGCAGAGGGUUUGUGUUCUCGAGAAGGCCUGAAGGAGAAAAGAAAACUGGAAAUCCAGCUGAACCUGAGAUCCAUUGAAGAACAAUGGAAGAAGGUCCUGGCAAGUGCUCAAGAACUAAAGAACCAGGCGGAGCUCCAGGAUUCUCUUGCGAGGGAGCUUCAGAAUGUCUGUACCCAGGAGGAGAGCACCUGGACCUGGGUGAAGAACCAGAAAGAUGGCCUGGACUUACUGGGGGAAAGCACUCAUGGUACACUGGAGCAGAUUGAGGAGAGACUAAGCAAAGCACAAGCAAUUCUAAGUCUGCACUCUGAGGGCAACUCUAAGAUUGCAGCCCUGAAAUGGACAGUAGAUCGUCUUUUUAACCGUGAAGAUCUUGAUGAAGAUGCAAGACAUUCUCUCAUUAAAAAGAUGAAAAAUGCAGAGGAGGAGUGGAAGACAACACUGCAGCAAGCACAGGAGCUGCAUAGUCUGCUGAAAAGUGUAAGGGAACGUCUGGUGUCCUGUCAGUGUCAGAAGGACCAGCUUCAGUCUCGUCUGGAGCAGGUGAAACAGCAGACUGCUGCACUGCCGCGGCACUUCCCCUGGCCUGGUUUAGGGGAUCGAAGGCACACAUUGGAGCAAGCCAAGAGUCUGCUAGAUCGUACCAGAGCCCUGACCCCAUCUCUGUCUGCUGUCCGAGCACUUGGGAGGGAGAUGAGCCAGCUGACCCGUGAUUCCAGCUGGAUUGAUCCAUCCUGGGCCACCAUAGAG